CUUCUUUUCUUUUUCUUUUGGUUUCUUAGACGAAUUAUAAAUUCUUUGUUCUAAUAAAGGCCCUCUGCGACGGAUUUAUGUUUCCGACACCAAACCCUAGGAAUGGAUCAGUCUUUCUUCCUGAAGGCGGAUUUAUGUUUCCGACACCAGCAACAUUGAACAGGUUUAAGGUUUUUCUUGCUCGGAAUGGUAAAGCUAUUUCAACUCAAAGACAAAACAAUAUAGGUUCUGAAUCAAGACAAUGAAGGAUGGAUGUCAACCCCCUCUUCAAAGAGAAUGACGAAUCGGUGUUUGAGAUCAACGUCAAGGCUAUCAAGACUUUAGUUGAUGCUGCCGGUGAAGUUGAUUCUGUAAGGAGGGACCAAGUGAGUGCUGCGGAGAAGGUAGCUGAGUCUCUGCUGAUGUUGAGGGAAAUUCCUGUUCCGGGUUUGAACGAAGAAGGGAGGGAUGCCAUGUAUAGAACUGUUGAGAUCUUGGCGGUAGCAGUAGAGGAAAACAAAAAGGUCACAUGAAGGAUGGUUAACCUUACAAAUGUUUUGUUGCAAGUUUAAUUUGGCAGUUUGAAACUUACUGUGUGGGAGGGAGGGUCUUUGUUUUGCUGAAAUCAGUACCAUUGAGAGAGUUAAGGUCAUUUAGAGUAUGUUGAUAAGUGAGGGGAAUUUAGAGUUUCAGAUGUGUGAAUUGAAAUCAGUAAAGUAUAAUUUGGGAGUUAAAAACUUACUGUGUGGGAGGGUUUUUUUGUUUUGUUGAAAUCAAUACUAUUGAGAGAGUUGAGGGAAUGUUGAUAAGUGAGGGGAAUUUAGAGUUUCAGGUGUCUGAAGCGUAAUAGUAUUUUCUGGUCAGUGUGGUUUGUUAAAACCAUUGUAAUGAAAUGGAUCUAAUAGUAUUUUCUGGUAAUUUUUAACCUUCUUGAUUACUACUA